rnacentral:rRNA from 1 species
UACGUAGGGGGCGAGCGUUUGUCCGGAUUUAUUGGGCGUAAAGAGCUCGUAGGCGGUUUGGCAAGUCGGGUGUGAAAACUCCGGCUCAACUCGGAGACGCCACUCGAUACUGCCAUGACUCGAGUCCGGUAGGGGAGUGCGGAAUUCCUGGUGUAGCGGUGAAAUGCGCAGAUAUCAGGAGGAACACCGGUGGCGAAGGCGGCACUCUGGGCCGGUACUGACGCUGAGGAGCGAAAGCGUGGGGAGCGGAACAGGA